rnacentral:rRNA from 2 species
CACACUGGACUGAGACACGGUCCAGACUCCUACGGGAGGCAGCAGUGGGGAAUAUUGCACAAUGGGCGCAAGCCUGAUGCAGCCAUGCCGCGUGUGUGAAGAAGGCCUUCGGGUUGUAAAGCACUUUCAGUCGUGAGGAAGGUAGUGUAGUUAAUAGCUGCAUUAUUUGACGUUAGCGACAGAAGAAGCACCGGCUAACUCCGUGCCAGCAGCCGCGGUAAUACGGAGGGUGCGAGCGUUAAUCGGAAUUACUGGGCGUAAAGCGCAUGCAGGUGGUUUGUUAAGUCAGAUGUGAAAGCCCGGGGCUCAACCUCGGAAUUGCAUUUGAAACUGGCAGACUAGAGUACUGUAGAGGGGGGUAGAAUUUCAGGUGUAGCGGUGAAAUGCGUAGAGAUCUGAAGGAAUACCGGUGGCGAAGGCGGCCCCCUGGACAGAUACUGACACUCAGAUGCGAAAGCGUGGGGAGCAAACAGGAUUAGAUACCCUGGUAGUCCACGCCGUAAACGAUGUCUACUUGGAGGUUGUGGCCUUGAGCCGUGGCUUUCGGAGCUAACGCGUUAAGUAGACCGCCUGGGGAGUACGGUCGCAAGAUUAAAACUCAAAUGAAUUGACGGGGGCCCGCACAAGCGGUGGAGCAUGUGGUUUAAUUCGAUGCAACGCGAAGAACCUUACCUACUCUUGACAUCCAGAGAACUUUCCAGAGAUGGAUUGGUGCCUUCGGGAACUCUGAGACAGGUGCUGCAUGGCUGUCGUCAGCUCGUG